GAUGAACGCUGGCGGCGUGCCUAAUACAUGCAAGUCGAGCGAAUGGAUUGAGAGCUUGCUCUUAUGAAGUUAGCGGCGGACGGGUGAGUAACACGUGGGUAACCUGCCCAUAAGACUGGGAUAACUCCGGGAAACCGGGGCUAAUACCGGAUAACAUUUUGAACCGCAUGGUUCGAAAUUGAAAGGCGGCUUCGGCUGUCACUUAUGGAUGGACCCGCGUCGAAUUAGCUAGUUGGUGGGGUAACGGCUCACCAAGGCAACGAUGCGUAGCCGACCUGAGAGGGUGAUCGGCCACACUGGGACUGAGACACGGCCCAGACUCCUACGGGAGGCAGCAGUAGGGAAUCUUCCGCAAUGGACGAAAGUCUGACGGAGCAACGCCGCGUGAGUGAUGAAGGCUUUCGGGUCGUAAAACUCUGUUGUUAGGGAAGAACAAGUGCUAGUUGAAUAAGCUGGCACCUUGACGGUACCUAACCAGAAAGCCACGGCUAACUACGUGCCAGCCGCCGCAGUAA
rnacentral:rRNA from 1 species